AGUGGUGUAGUUCAGUGGUGGAAUGUGUGCUUAGCAUGCUCAAGGCCCUGGGUUUAAUCUUGGCACCACAC
rnacentral:tRNA from 1 species